GAGAGAUCAGAAGAAGAAGAUAUAUGGAAACAGAAGCAAAUUGACAUGGAGAAGGAGGGAAGAGAGAGGGAGAACAAGAUACAGAGAAAGAUAGAAGAGAUACACAGACGACAACAAGAGGAGCGACAGAAACAAAUGGAGAAAGAGAAAGAAAGGGAGAAAGACAAUGAGAAUCAGGGAGAGAUGGAAUUAAAAGAUCAGCAACAGAAAAAGAUGGAGAAAGAAAAUAUGAUUAUGAGAGAGAGGGAGGAAGCAGGAAGAAGAAAUGAGGGGCAGAAUGAACUGGAGAUAGAACAGGAGAGAGAGAUGGAAGAAAAGCAGGAAGUGAUUAUUAAGAAAGCAGAGGAAGAGUACAUGGAAAGAGAAGAGAGAGGAAAGGAAGUAAGCAUGAAGAAAGAUGUAGUAGUUAAUGUUAAAGCUAAAGCACGGGAAGUCUUCAAUAGACGUAAAGAGAGGAGGUUAGAAGUGUUGAAGGGGGAACGAGAACACAUAGAAAGAGGACAACAAAUCAGGAGGGAGAAGGAGGAAAGACGGCUGGAGAUGGAAAGAAAACAGGAGAGGGCAAGACAACAAGAGGAGCAGGAUAAAAAACGAGAGAUUGGAAUUGCCAGACAGAAAGAAAUGUUCAGACUAAGAGAGGAGGAGAGGCAGAGAGAGGAAAAGAGAGAGGAGGAGAGAAAGAGAGCCAUUGAAGGCCAUUUAGCUUUAAUCAGAGAGAGAGAGAACAUCAUAAAGGCAAACAUAAGAGAGGAGAUGUCAGAAGAGGAAAGAAGAGAGAUCCCUGGGAAUUACAAGAUGGGUGAGACAGAGAACAGUGAAGAGGAGGAGGAGAAAGAAGAUGACAAGGAGGACAUUCUCCCACCUGAUAAAAGUAGCCGAAGGAGAGCUGUGGACUGGGUGAAUAAGAAGUGGGAGAAGAGGAACCUCAAAAAGAUCGAGAGAACGUAUCAGAGAGAGGCUGAGGAGGGCUAUAAGAUCGUCCACAUAGCCAUCCCUGGACACACAAGGCUAACAUCCACCAUGACCCGGGCAGAGAGAGAGGGAGAAGAGGAAGGAGCUGCUGAAGGAUGAGGAGAGAAGGAAGAAGUUGGAGGAUUUCAAUAAGCAGUGGAGAGAGCAGUCCCUGCUUAAAAAAAGGACUCAUCAGAAACUGAAGGAGGAGAGGGAGAGAGAGAGGAUAAAGGAAAAGUACCUGGAGCAGAUGAAUCUGGAGGCUGAUGCUCAAAUCAACACCCGGUGUCCAACCACCCAACACAGCCACGAUUCCAACCACGGUCAGGCAUUGCCGGGAUGGGCCACAGGCCAACAGGUAAGCCAAGAGCCUGUUGGAUCUGGAGAUGGCCAGCAGGAGGGGCCAAGGAGGCAGCAGGCAUGGGCAGAGAACCAGGAGUGGAGUUCAGAGAACCAGCAGGAGUGGAGUUCAGAGAACCAGCAGGAGUGGCCAGAGAACCAGCAGGAGUGUUCAGAGAACCAGCAGGAGUGGAGUUCAGAGAACCAGCAGGAGUGGAGUUCAGAGAACCAGCAGGAGUGGCCAGAGAACCAGCAGGAGUGGCCAGAGAACCAGCAGGAGUGGCCAGAGAACCAGCAGGAGGGGCCAGAGAACCAGCAGGAGUGGCCAGAGAACCAGCAGGAGUGGCCAGAGAACCAGCAGGAGUGGCCAGAGAACCAGCAGCUGGAAGCUCCAGAAGAGGCUGAAACAUCAGAGCCAACCUCCAAGAACAAGAAAAGGCCAAGCAUCUGGAAGAGAAUUAAGAUGAGCAUUCCUGACGUGCUGCCUGCCUAGAGCUGGAACUCGAUGAAGCCACAUUUCCUCCACAAAACAUUAUAUUCUCCUCAAGCCAGAAAGUAUCCUCUUUAUCAAGGCAACAAACCAUCUAAGGUCAGUGACUCUCCUCCCCAGAGCAGAGAUUCUCAUCUCUUUCCAAGUUGAAUUCAUCUCUGCUCACCACCUCUACUGUCCUAGAAAAUAUCCCCAAAUGGACAUGGUUUAAAUAGAAGUCCUCCCCUCAGACCAGUGGCUCCACAGACCAGAGUUUCUCAUCUUUAUUCAAGUUGAACGCAACUCUGAUCAUUUCCACCACCUCACCUGUCCUAGACCUAGAAGAUAACUCCCAAUAAAUGAUGGUACAAGUUGAGAGGCACAGGGACAGCCAUGGAGCAGCACCUCUUGGGUGAAGAGCCAUUUCAGGAUUAAGUGCCUUGAUCUAGGGUACAACGACAGGAGAUGGUCCCUAGGAGCAGAGCCUAGCAGCUCCAUGGUUGCUAGUUCAGUUCCCACUGCUGGUCUUAGGUGUUAAGGGGAGGUGCUGAAAAGGGAGGUCUGGGAAGAGUUCAGGGAGGUCUGGGAGGAGGUCUUCAGGUAGCCUGGACCGGACCAGUAGCAACUAAAUUCAAUCCCUGGGCAGAGCUGCACAAGUCAGGCCAGUGAUCUUGGAUGAUGUCAUUUUUGUUAGCAAAA
rnacentral:lncRNA from 1 species